rnacentral:rRNA from 1 species
GGGUUGUGAGGUUAAGCGACUAAGCGUACACGGUGGAUGCCCUGGCAGUCAGAGGCGAUGAAGGGCGUGCUAAUCUGCGAUAAGCGCCGGUAAGGUGAUAUGAACCGUUAUAACCGGCGAUACCCGAAUGGGGAAACCCAGUGUGAUUCGUCACACUAUCAUUAACUGAAUCCAUAGGUUAAUGAGGCGAACCGGGGGAACUGAAACAUCUAAGUACCCCGAGGAAAAGAAAUCAACCGAGAUUCCCCCAGUAGCGGCGAGCGAACGGGGAGGAGCCCAGAGCCUGAAUCAGCAUGUGUGUUAGUGGAAGCGUCUGGAAAGGUGCGCGAUACAGGGUGACAGCCCCGUACACAAAAGCGCAUGUGCUGUGAGCUCGAUGAGUAGGGCGGGACACGUGGUAUCCUGUCUGAAUAUGGGGGGACCAUCCUCCAAGGCUAAAUACUCCUGACUGACCGAUAGUGAACCAGUACCGUGAGGGAAAGGCGAAAAGAACCCCGGCGAGGGGAGUGAAAAAGAACCUGAAACCGUGUACGUACAAGCAGUGGGAGCACAGGUUUACCUGUGUGACUGCGUACCUUUUGUAUAAUGGGUCAGCGACUUAUAUUCUGUAGCAAGGUUAACCGUAUAGGGGAGCCGUAGGGAAACCGAGUCUUAACCGGGCGUUAAGUUGCAGGGUAUAGACCCGAAACCCGGUGAUCUAGCCAUGGGCAGGUUGAAGGUUGGGUAACACUAACUGGAGGACCGAACCGACUAAUGUUGAAAAAUUAGCGGAUGACCUGUGGCUGGGGGUGAAAGGCCAAUCAAACCGGGAGAUAGCUGGUUCUCCCCGAAAGCUAUUUAGGUAGCGCCUCGUGAAUUCAUCUCCGGGGGUAGAGCACUGUUUCGGCUAGGGGGCCAUCCCGGCUUACCAACCCGAUGCAAACUGCGAAUACCGGAGAAUGUUAUCACGGGAGACACACGGCGGGUGCUAACGUCCGUCGUGAAGAGGGAAACAACCCAGACCGCCAGCUAAGGUCCCAAAGUCAUGGUUAAGUGGGAAACGAUGUGGGAAGGCCCAGACAGCCAGGAUGUUGGCUUAGAAGCAGCCAUCAUUUAAAGAAAGCGUAAUAGCUCACUGGUCGAGUCGGCCUGCGCGGAAGAUGUAACGGGGCUAAACCAU